rnacentral:tRNA from 2 species
GAAUGGCUCAGUCGGUUAGAGCGGGUGGCUGUUAACCACUAGGUCGGGGGUUCGAGUCCCUCUUC